CCUACGGGGGGCAGCAGUGGGGAAUCUUGCGCAAUGGCCGAAAGGCUGACGCAGCGACGCCGCGUGCGGGAGGAAGCUCUUCGGGGUGUAAACCGCUGUCAGGAGGGACGAAGGUCCGGAGGAGGCAAUGCCUUCGGGAUGACGGUACCUCCAGAGGAAGCGCCGGCUAACUCCGUGCCAGCAGCCGCGGUAAUACGGAGGGCGCGAGCGUUGUUCGGAAUUAUUGGGCGUAAAGCGCACGUAGGCGGUUCGAUCAGUCUGCCUGUGAAAGCUCGGGGCUCAACCCCGACGAGGCCAGGGGAUACUGUCGGACUGGAGACAAGCAGAGGUUGGUAGAAUUCCGGGUGUAGCGGUGGAAUGCGUAGAGAUCCGGAGGAAUACCAGAGGCGAAGGCGGCCAACUGGGCUUGUUCUGACGCUGAGGUGCGAAAGCGUGGGGAG
rnacentral:rRNA from 1 species